rnacentral:rRNA from 1 species
CCCGCACAAGCGGUGGAGCAUGUGGUUUAAUUCGACGCAACGCGAAGAACCUUUACCAGGUCUUGACAUCCCGAUGCUAUUUCUAGAGAUAGAAAGUUACUUCGGUACAUCGGUGACAGGUGGUGCAUGGUUGUCGUCAGCUCGUGUCGUGAGAUGUUGGGUUAAGUCCCGCAACGAGCGCAACCCCUAUUGUUAGUUGCCAUCAUUCAGUUGGGCACUCUAGCGAGACUGCCGGUAAUAAACCGGAGGAAGUGGGGAUGACGUCAAAUCAUCAUGUCCCUUAUGACCUGGGCUACACACGUGCUACAAUGGUUGGUACAACGAGUUGCGAGUCGGUGACGGCGAGCUAAUCUCUUAAAGCCAAUCUCAGUUCGGAUUGUAGGCUGCAACUCGCCUACAUGAAGUCGGAAUCGCUAGUAAUCGCGGAUCAGAAUGCCACGGUGAAUACGUUCCCGGGCCUU